UUGUAAACUUCUUUUAUUUAGGAAGAAACCACUUUUUUUUAAGAGUGUUGACGGUAUUAAAUGAAUAAGCACCGGCUAACUCCGUGCCAGCAGCCGCGGUAAUACGGAGGGUGCAAGCGUUAUCCGGAUUUACUGGGUUUAAAGGGUGUGUAGGCGGACUUUUAAGUCAGGGGUGAAAUCCCGGGGCUAACCCCGGAACUGCCUUUGAUACUAUUAGUCUUGAAUUAUGUUGAGGUUGGCGGAAUAUAUCAUGUAGCGGUGAAAUGCAUAGAUAUGUUAUAGAACACCGAUUGCGAAGGCAGCUGGCUAAACAUAUAUUGACGCUGAGGCACGAAAGCGUGGGUAGCGAACAGGAUUAGAUACCCUGGUAGUCCACGCCCUAAACGAUGAUUACUCGUCAUUUGCGAUACACAGUAAGUGAC
rnacentral:rRNA from 1 species